GUGGGUUCUUUACCACUGCCACCACCUGGGAAGCCUCACCUGGGAGGUGAGGAUGUAAAUUGGGGGGAGACACAGUUCAGCCCAUAGCACCACCUCUGUGCUUCUGAGCCCAUGUAACUCUCCUAAACUAUAGAGAUGCCUCGUCAUCAUUGGCCAGAUUGCUCCACUUGAAUGCCCCACGUAUUUUCCAGCCUCUUUUGUGGUCAGGCUCAGGCCCGCGAGCUAUUCUCCACCAAGAGGACUUGCCCUAUGAAACGCUGAUUCAGAAGGAGCAGUUUGAGGAAGGAGGAGGCUUGGAGUGGAGACCGUUUCCCCAGCAGUGGCAGAGGCUUUCAGGGAUACGGCAGUUGCAAGUCGAGUGGAGCUCUGGAUUCCCAAAGAUGAAAAGUUGCAGAACAGAGAAUAAUAUUUGUUUGGUGGAAGGUUUCUGGGAACACUGUGACCUGAGCUAUGCGGACAGCUACAAGAACAAAGGAUUCCAGCACCAAGAAGUUUGCCGUAACCGCCCCCCUUCCCCUUUUAGUAUCAAAGAAGCCGCAGUUCUACUUCAGGAUUGAGGAGUAUCAAAGAGAUGGUUGGAUGGCAUCACUGACUCAAUGGACAUGAGUUUGAGCAAGCUCCAGGAGUUGAUGAUGGACAGGCAAGCCUGACGUGCUGCCGUCCGUGGGGUUGCAAAGACUUGGACAUUACUGAAC
ensembl:lncRNA